AUUGAACGCUGGCGGCAGGCCUAACACAUGCAAGUCGAGCGAGCGGCGGACGGGUGAGUAAUGUAUGGGGACUGCCCGAUAGAGGGGGAUAACUACUGGAAACGGUAGCUAAUACCGCAUACUAUCGGAUAACCCAUAUGGGAUUAGCUAGUAGGUGAGGUAAUGGCUCACCUAGGCGACGAUCCCUAGCUGGUCUGAGAGGAUGAUCAGCCACCAGGGGACGGAGACACGGCCCAGACUCCUACGGAGGCAGCAGUGGGGAAUAUUGCACAAUGGGCGCAAGCCUGUUGCAGCCAUGCAGCGUGGAUGAAGAAGGCCUGAGGGUUUGAAAGUACUUUCAGUCGGGAGGCGUUACCGACAGAAGAAGCACCGGCUAACUCCGUGCCAGCCGCCGCGGUAAUAC
rnacentral:rRNA from 1 species